ACUAAAUGCAUAAAAAAUCUUUCUUAACAUUCAGUUAUUAUGAGACUUUUAUUUAAAUGUACUUUAUUAUGAUCUGUUUGUUGUUACAGCUUUAUGCUCAACCCCCACAAUUCUGUGCUGCCUGGGGAGAAAUGAUGGCUGCCAUCAAGGUUGUUUCUGUGAUGAGUUCUGCUUACAAGCUAAUGACUGCUGCUCGGACUACAUAUCAACCUGCACACAAUCUGCAACAAAUACUACAACCACCACCACUCUGCCACCAACAACAACCAGAGAUGCUACUACUUUAAUAACGUCUACCAAUAAAAUUCCCGAGCCAAUAAAAGUUAUAUUUGACCUGACCUUGUCUACACAGUCGAGAGUAAAUACAGAAGAGGCAAUGGGAAGCCUGCAAAAUUUUGCUCGUCAGGUUGAGGAGCUCUUACGGAAGGAGCAGUGUAAGGACUGCUCAAUGAAGAUCAUACAAGUUCAUCAGAAACCAAAGGACCCCUAACUUUUCCAUCAUCAGAACUACACAAAUUAAUCUCCCACAAUAUGCAGUUACUAUCAGAUCAUACAAAUAACUGAACAAGCCUCCAACUCCAGCCACUGAGGCACUGGAGUAUAGGUACACCUGAAAAACAGCCUUUCUGAAAGACCCAGCACUGAGAGGAGCAAUACCAGUGUGUGACUUUACUCAGUAGGGGGCAGUGAAGUGUUUUUAUGUAGGCACCUGGAUGUAUUUACCUCAGCAGGAAUCCCAGAUAACAAAAGUUUAUUGUAUUAACCUUUAUUUUUCCAUCUCUAAUACCCUGAAACAAUACUGUAUAUUGUAUAUAUUGUUUGUAUUUAAUUAUUAUAAGCUUGUACUUACAGCUUGUUGUUCUUGCAGUGUAUAAAGGUACAUUAA